rnacentral:piRNA from 1 species
UGAGCCUCAGGAUGGAUAUUGCCAAUUAA